AUAAGUAUUUAAAGGAUAUCUUGGUUUUAUGUUUUAAGGACGUAUUAAAUGCGAAAAGUUAAAGGUAAAUGAAAAAUUUGUAAUCUUUAAAUUUCCAAAGAUAAAUCAAUAUUAAUUUAAUUAAUAAAAUUACGUAGUGAACUGAAACAUCUAAGUAACUAUAGGAAAAAAAAUCAAUAGAGAUUUUGUGAGUAGUGGUGAGCGAAAGUAAAAUAAAGCCUUUUUAAUAUUAUUUAUAAAAAUUUUUUUUUAAUAUUUGAUGAAACAAUAACAAAAAAAGGUGUAAGUCCUGUA
rnacentral:rRNA from 1 species